GACGAACGCUGGCGGCGUGCUUAACACAUGCAAGUCGAACGAUGAAGCCGGAGCUUGCUCUGGUGAAUUAGUGGCGAACGGGUGAGUAACACGUGAGUAACCUGCCCUUGACUCUGGGAUAACUGCGGGAAACUGUAGCUAAUACCGGAUAUGACCAAUGAAGGCAUCUUCUGUUGGUGGAAAGAAUUUCGGUUCGGGAUGGACUCGCGGCCUAUCAGCUUGUUGGUGAGGUAACGGCUCACCAAGGCGACGACGGGUAGCCGGCCUGAGACGGUGAUCGGCCACACUGGGACUGAGACACGGCCCAGACUCCUACGGGAGGCAGCAGUGGGGAAUAUUGCACAAUGGGCGCAAGCCUGAUGCAGCAACGCCGCGUGAGGGACGACGGCCUUCGGGUUGUAAACCUCUUUUAGUAGGGAAGAAGCGAAAGUGACGGUACCUGCAGAAAAAGCACCGGCUAACUACGUGCCAGCAGCCGCAGUAA
rnacentral:rRNA from 1 species